rnacentral:lncRNA from 1 species
UUCAAAAUAUAAGACAGCUAUAUUCAAAUAGAAACUAAAUAACAACUAAAGCAUCCAAUGGAAUUUCACUCUUCAUCACUAAAUGUUUCCUCAUAAACAUGGCUUCAUCCAAAACAAAACCUCAUAACCAUUACAAUUUGCGUUUUAAGCAGAAGCUGCUGCAACCUUUUUUCUUGCUGCUGCAACCUUCUUUCUUGCUGCUGCUACAGUACCUAUGCAUCACCCCCAAUAAAAAAUUAGAACAUUUUGAAAGAAAAAAAAACCCAAAAUUUCUUACAAGAAUAGAAAUACGCAAUGGAACUAAAAUCAGAAAGCAAUGAGCCUAAGGACAUUAGCAUUUUCCUACAUUCCCUGAAACCUGUCUUGAACCUACGAGGAACGUGGCGAAGAUACCUCUAUACACCGGUGAUGGAGAUGUUAGCCUCAUCUAAUUGAAAUCAACAGCUGGAAACACAAAUAAUCACACAAGUUAAAAAACCCAAAAUAAGUACUUAAACACUUCAAUUUGCAACAUUUAAGCACUUCAAUUUACAGCAUUUAAACACUUCAAUUUGCAGCAUUCAAACACUUCAAUUUGCAGCACUUUAACAUCUCAAUUAACAACAUUUAUACACCUCAAUUACAGCGAUAAAACAUCUCAAUGUCCAGCAACUAAACACUUCAAUUUGCAGUACUUAAACACUUCAAUUUGCAACAUUUAAGAACUUCAAUUUACAGCAUUUAAACAUUUCAAUUUGCAGCACUUUAACAUCUCAAUUAACAACAUUUAUACACCUCAAUUACAGCGAUAAAACAUCUCAAUGUCCGGCAACUAAACACUUCAAUUUUUAGUACUUAAACACUUCAAUUUGCAAUAUUUAAGCACUUCAAUUUACAGCAUUUAAACACUUCAAUUUACAGCAUUCAAACACUUCAAUUUGUAGCACUUUAACACUUCAAUUUAUAGCAUUUAAACACUUCAAUUUGCAGCACUUUAACAUCUCAAUUAACAACAUUUAUACACCUCAAUUACAGCGAUAAAACAUCUCAAUGUCCAGCAACUAAACACUUCAAUUUGCAGUACUUAAACACUUUAAUUUGCAACAUUUAAACACUUCAAUUUACAGCAUUUAAACACUUCAAUUUACGGCAUUCAAAUACUUCAAUUUACAGCACUUUAACACUUCAAUUUACAGCAUUUAAACACUUCAAUUUGCAGCACUUUAACAUCUCAAUUAACAACAUUUAUACACCUCAAUUAUAGCGCUAAAACAUCUCAAUGUCCAGCAACUAAACACUUCAAUUUGCAACAUUUUAGCACUUCAAUUUACAGCAUUCAAACACUUCAAUUUGCAGCACUUUAACACUUCAAUUUACAGCAUUUAAACACUUCAAUUUGUAGCACUUUAACAUCUCAAUUAACAACAUUUAUACACCUCAAUUACAGCGAUAAAACAUCUCAAUGUCCAGCAACUAAACACUUCAAUUUGCAGUACUUAAACACUUCAAUUUGCAACAUUUAAGCACUUCAAUUUACAGCAUUUAAACACUUCAAUUUACAACAUUCAAACACUUCAAUUUGCAGCACUUUAACACUUUAAUUUACAGCAUUAAAACACUUCAAUUUGCAGCACUUUAACAUUUCAAUUAACAACAUUUAUACACCUCAAUUACAGCGAUAAGACAUCUAAAUUUCUAGCAACUAAACACUUCAAUUUGCAGUACUUAAACACUUCAAUUUGCAACAUUUACUACUAAUAUAUAAUUUUAGGAUUCAUUAACUAAGAAAAGGAAGGAAAAAUAUUCUUACUGUCAUGGAAUAUCGCCUGCAACCAGCCAUUCUCCUUCUUUGUCCUGGUAGGUGAGAAUAUAAUCAUCUUCAUCACAUUUCUUGUCUGUUCAUGACAUGAAAAAGAAAAAAGCAAGCUGAAUAUUGAGAUUUUUGGUAUUCUUUUAUCUUUUGAGGAAUUUAUGUAUAUAAUCAAUGACUUUACCUUUGGCAAACAUGGUGAUCAAGGAGUGAUUUAUAUUUUAAAUCAUGAAAAUCUUUUACUUAAGGAAAAUAAUGUUUUAGUAUAUAUAUUGUUGGAGUGAUUUAAACCUUUUUGGAUCUUAUGCGUUUAAAGACAGAAUCAAGUUGUUGCUCCAAAUUUUGAAGCUCUCUAAGACUAAAAUUUUAGAUAUCUUCUCCUUCGUAAUGCCUAGAAAUAUAAUUAAUUAUUUAUUAAAAGAGAAAGAUGCAUGCCUUGAAUGUAUCUGAAAUUUGAAGCCAUUGGGGGUACCUCAGGUUUCUUUGUAAAGUCUGCAUUCUAGCUUUAAGUUUUGCAUGUUCCCAGGUCCAGUUUCCCUGUAAAAAAACAUAUUGAAAUCAUCCCAAGUCAACAAGUAGAACAUAUUUGGUGUAAUAACUAUUAUGAUGUUGAUGUAACAAUUUAAGUCAACAAUAAUAAAGCAUUCAAAAAAUAUAUAAAUUCUUUAAAAUUUCAAGUAAUAAAUAAAUAUUCAACUUUAUUUCAAUUUAGAUAUCCCGUUGAAGUUGAUUUUCAAUGUAGUUUUUUAAAUUAUAAAAUGAAGUUAAAUUUUCUGAAAAAUAUACAAAAAUUUAUUAAAAAUUUGUGAAAGAUCUUAAGAUUAUAAAAAUAACUCAACAUCUUUAUCACUCUUAAGAUCUUGUAUAAACUCAACAUCUUUAUUGAAAGGCAGACUCAACAUACCAAACAGUUUAACCUCAAAUUUGCAUUGGUUCAGAUGUCUUUACUCACGUCUUUAUUGACAGGUUUUAUGGAGACUAAUUGUUCUGCUUUCUAAAAAGUGAAUCUAAAUGCAUAACUAAUAACCAGCACCCCUAUCAUUUAAAACACCAACAAAUAGAAAAUGACUACAUUACUUCAAAGGACAAAUAGAAAGUACUCAAUUUAUCACGUAGACUACAUUACUUCAAAGGAUCCAGAAUUGAAUGCAAAUAGAAUCACAAUCAAUCCAAUCCCAUGAAAUUCAAAGAAAACAUACAGCAGAACUUAGGGGAGAAAAACAAAUAAGCAAGAGAACAGACGCAUACCAGUGGGAAUAUCUUUAAGCUGAGUACCACGACCCUGAAAAGCAAAUCAAAGUUCAAAAAACAAUCAUAACACAAAGAAAAUAAAUUGAAUGGCCUACACAUGACUCUGAAGAGCUGGGUUUUCAAAUUUCCCCAGAUAUUUAUAGGUUUGAUUCACAAUUAUUACCCAAACUAUCAUACAGUCCAUAAAUUUGCUUUCCACCAUUCUAUUUUCUCUCUCCAUCCAAUCUCCCUUUUCCAUUUCUUGCUUUUAUCUCUUCUUCUUCCAUGUCUCCUCAACCCGACCCAUGCCUGACCCGAUUUGUAUUAUCUGCUGGCGAAUGCAUUCCUUUUUCCUUCACUUCUGGAGAAAACAAUUGCUGAGGAAACGCCUCUUGCUUCUUAUUCUGGUCUCCAAAUCAAACGUUUGUUUUCUCUUUUGAAUAUCCGAUUUGAGUUUUUGGAUGGGGGAAAAUUAUAACAAGUUGAAAAAAUCAACGGCUUCACAAACCGGAAGAUUGGGGAGGGUACGUAACGCCGUGGGUAAAGGAAAUAGCCGAGAAUUUGACUUGCUUGAAAUCGGUGCAUUUUAGGAGGAUGAUUGUUAAUGAUUCAGAUUUGGAAGUAUUGGGUAGGUCUAGGGGGGAAUUUGGGGGAUUUGGUUAACGAGCGGGUAAACAAAAAAUAAUUUUUGGGAGUGAGCAGAUUUUGCCUUUUUUUAUAAAAAAAUAAUGGCCCUUU